UACGUAGGGCGCGAGCGUUGUCCGGAAUUAUUGGGCGUAAAGAGCUCGUAGGCGGCCUGUUGCGUCCGCUGUGAAAGCCCGGGGCUUAACCCCGGGUCUGCAGUGGAUACGGGCAGGCUAGAGGUAGGUAGGGGAGAAUGGAAUUCCCGGUGUAGUGGUGAAAUGCGUAGAUAUCCGGAGGAAUACCAAAGGCGAAGGCAGUGUCCUGGCUGGCAACUGACGCUGAGGCGCGAAAGCUAGGGGAGCGAACAGG
rnacentral:rRNA from 1 species